rnacentral:rRNA from 1 species
CCUUUGUUUAUUCGAAGCACCCGAAAACUUCCAGCUGGCAUCCCUGCAUCCCAAAGAUUGGCUUUCCUCGGGCCAGGUGACAGUUGUCCUGGUUUUGUCACCCCUUCGGAAGAGUUGGGUUAAGCCCCCCCCCGGCCCACCCUGAUCUUAGUUCCAGCUUCAGUUGGGCCUCUUAGGUGCCCGCCGGUGCCCAACCGGAGGGAGGGGGGGAUGCCGUUCAAUCCUCAUGCCCCUUAUGACCUGGGCCACCCCCUGCUACAAUGGACAGAACAAAGGGCUGCAAGACCGCAAGGUUUAGCCAAUCCCAUAAUCUGUUCUCAGUUCGGAUCCAGUCUGCAACUCGCUGCGUGAAGCUGGAAUCGCUUGUAAUCGCGGAUCAGAUGCCGCGGUGAAUACGUUUCCGGGCCUUGUACACCCCCCCCCUCCCACCACGAGAGUUUGCAACACCCGAAGUCGGUGAGGUAACCUUUAUGGA